ACGGCAAGCAAAUCUCUUAAAGCCAGUCUCAGUUCGGAUUGUAGGCUGCAACUCGCCUACAUGAAGUCGGAAUCGCUAGUAAUCGCGCAUCAGCCAUGGCGCGGUGAAUACGUUCCCGGGCCUUGUACACACCGCCCGUCACACCAUGAGAGUUGGGAAUACCCGAAGCCUGUGAGCUAACUUUUAGAGGCAGCAGUCGAAGGUAGAGCCAAUGAUUGGGGUGAAGUCGUAACAAGGUACC
rnacentral:rRNA from 1 species